GGACCUGGCUAUCACUCAUCCUCCUGGAUCACCCAGUGCUGAGUCAGCUGACCACCAAAGCUCCAGGAUCCAAGCUCAAGGAAUUCAGCCUCUCUGGUAUUGCCCAGGUGUCUGAAUGCCUGCUUUGGGAUACCUCCUUUUCUGAUAGUCUAUAUUCCUGUCCUGGAUUUUAAUAGAAGUCCCUGGGCUGAGGUGUUAACAGUCUUCAUUUAAUGAAUUUCCAUGAACAUCUUUUUUUGAUGAUCAUUGUGUGGAGAUAUCAUCUUAAUUGAAACUGUGAGAAGGCUGUACCUGUGACAAAGGACACAAAAGAACCUGCUUAUGUGAACACAAAUGAAGGACACAGUGGGGACUUGCCAU